rnacentral:rRNA from 1 species
GAUGAACGCUAGCUACAGGCUUAACACAUGCAAGUCGAGGGGAAACGGCAUUGGGUGCUUGCACUCUUUGGACGUCGACCGGCGCACGGGUGAGUAACGCGUAUCCAACCUUCCCAUUACUGUGGGAUAACCUGCCGAAAGGCAGACUAAUACCGCAUAGUCUUCGAUGACGGCACCAGAUUUGAAGUAAAGAUUUAUCGGUAAUGGAUGGGGAUGCGUCUGAUUAGCUUGUUGGCGGGGUAACGGCCCACCAAGGCUACGAUCAGUAGGGGUUCUGAGAGGAAGGUCCCCCACAUUGGAACUGAGACACGGUCCAAACUCCUACGGGAGGCAGCAGUGAGGAAUAUUGGUCAAUGGACGGAAGUCUGAACCAGCCAAGUAGCGUGCAGGAUGACGGCCCUAUGGGUUGUAAACUGCUUUUGUAUGGGGAUAAAGUUAGGGACGUGUCCCUAUUUGCAGGUACCAUACGAAUAAGGACCGGCUAAUUCCGUG